UACGUAGGGGGCAAGCGUUGUCCGGAAUCAUUGGGCGUAAAGAGCGUGUAGGCGGCCAGAUAAGUCCGCUGUGAAAACUCGAGGCUCAACUUCGAGCUGUCGGCGGAAACCAUCUGGCUAGAGUCCGGAAGAGGAGAAUGGAAUUCCCGGUGUAGCGGUGAAAUGCGCAGAUAUCGGGAAGAACACCCGUGGCGAAGGCGGUUCUCUGGGACGGUACUGACGCUGAGACGCGAAAGCGUGGGGAGCGAACAGG
rnacentral:rRNA from 1 species